GACGAACGCUGGCGGCGUGCUUAACACAUGCAAGUCGAACGGUGAAGCAGAGCUUGCUCUGUGGAUCAGUGGCGAACGGGUGAGUAACACGUGAGUAACCUGCCCUUGACUCUGGGAUAAGCGUUGGAAACGACGUCUAAUACCGGAUACGAGCUGAGACCGCAUGGUCAUCAGUUGGAAAGAUUUUUUGGUCAAGGAUGGACUCGCGGCCUAUCAGCUUGUUGGUGGGGUAAUGGCUCACCAAGGCGACGACGGGUAGCCGGCCUGAGAGGGUGACCGGCCACACUGGGACUGAGACACGGCCCAGACUCCUACGGGAGGCAGCAGUGGGGAAUAUUGCACAAUGGGCGCAAGCCUGAUGCAGCAACGCCGCGUGAGGGAUGACGGCCUUCGGGUUGUAAACCUCUUUUAGUAGGGAAGAAGCGAAAGUGACGGUACCUGCAGAAAAAGCACCGGCUAACUACGUG
rnacentral:rRNA from 1 species